GGAAUUUUAUUUUUAAGAUAAAAUCCUCAAGCAAAACAAAGCUAAAGUCAACUAUACACAAAAUAAUGAUACAAAUCUGUCAUGACAUCAAUUUUUUUUCAGAUUAUGAUAAAGAUACAAAUAUGAAGAAAUCACAUAAACAGUUAAAAUCAAGACCUUUAACAAACUCCAUGAUCAAAACUUAAAAAGGAGAUACCAAACAAUGUCUCCAAAAGAAUAAGUUACCCAGAAAGUAAACUCUUAAAAUUUACAAAUAUUUUAAAAAAGUAACUUAACCUUCUUGCAGAAUUUUUGACCCCAUUUCCAUUUUGUGAUCCCACUUUUUCAAGAGCGGCACUUCAGGAUCAGCAUAGUUGGACCUCAAUAUAAA